AUUGAACGCUGGCGGCAUGCCUUACACAUGCAAGUCGAACGGUAACGCGGGGCAACCUGGCGACGAGUGGCGAACGGGUGAGUAAUGCAUCGGAACGUGCCCAGUAGUGGGGGGAUAGCCCGGCGAAAGCCGGAUUAAUACCGCAUACGACCUACGGGUGAAAGCGGGGGACUCGCAAGAGCCUCGCGCUAUUGGAGCGGCCGAUGUCAGAUUAGGUAGUUGGUGGGGUAAAAGCCUACCAAGCCGACGAUCUGUAGCUGGUCUGAGAGGACGACCAGCCACACUGGGACUGAGACACGGCCCAGGCUCCUACGGGAGGCAGCAGUGGGGAAUUUUGGACAAUGGGCGCAAGCCUGAUCCAGCCAUGCCGCGU
rnacentral:rRNA from 1 species